UUCAAAGUUUGAAAUAGAUAAAUUUUCAUCUUCAAUUUUUUUCUUUCUUUUAUUCUUUCUAAUACUUCAUGGAUUAUCCGUCAUUUAGUAUUGCGAUUACCCAAAUAGUUACAUUAAACACUAAUCAAAUCUCUAUUUGUGAAGAAUCUUGUAAAGUUUCAAGAAGUCAAAAAAAAAAAAACAUGCAAAAACACCCAAGAAAAGGGGUAGAAAGAAUGUCGUCGCCAUAUCCAGACCUGCACCACCAUCGGUAUUUUUUUUUUGAAUAUGAAUUAUGUAGUUAAACAGAUGCAAAACACUCCCUUAAGUUUGACUCUAUUUACAAUUCAAAUAUCUUAAGAGGCUUAGCUUUGUUAAUAGAGGAUGAGGGUUUCCAAUUAUUUAUGGUAGUGGGUUCUUUGAAAAGACAGAAAGAACUGAUUGGGCAGCUUUGGACGCAUAUAAAGACAAGAAAAUCGAAGAACUUUUUGGUCCGCACACAUUCGUUUGAUGUGGAGUUUGCUCAAGAUAUCGUACAACAAAAAAAUGAUAUGAUUGUGGAAUGUUAGCUCCAUUUGCGGAAUUUUUGAAUGACGAAAUCAACAUGAUAAUAGUUUUGAAAGUGACUAUCUUCGCAAAAGAUAUGUCGUUGUUAUGGAAGUAUGAUCUCGACAAGGCCAAUGUUGGAUAUGUUAGCGACAAUGAUGAUCCUCCAAGACUGAAGAAUGACUUAAAAUCAGCAGAAGAAGAUGAACUUGUUAAUGUAGGCUAGUUAGUUUUCUGUGUUCCUGUUCACAGACACAUGUUGAUGCUUAUUUGUAUUUUGGAGAUCAAAUAGUGUAUUGGAGUAUUUAUUACCCUUACAAUAAUAUAGUAUUAAAUUUGGAAGAGUUAAAAUUGUUUAUUUUAGAAUUA